rfam:Gossypium hirsutum cultivar TM-1 chromosome 10, whole genome shotgun sequence
AAUCUAUGGUGUGGGCACUUUCUUAUCAUCGUCUUGAAACGUUCUCAUGCCUCGUACAAGAAUUCACCUUUAUAUUGUUUAAAAUUGAUGAUUUCUCACCUCAAUGAAU